GCAUAAUCAAUAGUUUUUUAAUUGAAGACUGGAAUGAAGGGUUUAUACUAAAAAGAGGGUUUUAUUUAAUUAUUUUGAAUUUAAAUUAAGAGUAAAAAUGCUCUUAUAAAUUUUUGGGACGAGAAGACCCUAGAAGCUUUGAAUUAUUCAAUAGAUUUUUAGUUGGGGUAACAUUUGAAGAUACAAAUUUUUAAAUACAAAAAAUAAUAGAAAUUAAGUUACUCUAGGGAUAACAGCAUUAUUUAAUUAACAAGUUCUUAUUAAUAAUUGAAGUUUGUGACCUCGAUGUUGAAUUAAUU
rnacentral:rRNA from 1 species